UGUGAUAAAAUAGCCUAACAAAAGACACAGG
rnacentral:piRNA from 1 species